rnacentral:misc_RNA from 1 species
AAGUCGUAACAAGGUUUCCGUAGGUGAACCUGCGGAAGGAUCAUUAACACGUAUCCAAACGUUUGAAAAAAAAAAGAAAAAAACCCCCCCUGUGAACAUUUGCUUGCUCUUGCAGCCCGCCCGGAUAACAAUCCCUGGUAAAUCAUCGCUGAACUGGUUUUGAUUCAGGGACCGUCUGUUUGGGUGAGAAGUUACAGCUGCAAUCGAGAGAUCGUGGCAUAUCUUGAGACUGCUCCGUAAAGUCCCCCGCUUGCAUUGGAAAGUGGCAUUAUCACGGCCGGUCGCUGCGCUCAGCGGGCGGACGUUGCCCCUGCAGAUUACCCCGUUACCAGUCGAAACCACCAACCUGCGCAACCAUUGCGUGUUGAGCCCGUGGGCGUGGUAUUACCGAAAUACUUGAACAACUGUUAACAAUGGAUAUCUUGGUUCUC